CAGCAGUAGCCGCGGGAAUACGGAGGGGGCUAGCGUUGUUCGGAAUUACUGGGCGUAAAGCGCACGUAGGCGGCUUGGUAAGUUAGAGGUGAAAGCCUGGAGCUCAACUCCAGAAUUGCCUUUAAGACUGCCGAGCUAGCAGGUGAGAGAGGUAAGUGGAAUUCCGAGUGUAGAGGUGAAAUUCGUAGAUAUUCGGAAGAACACCAGUGGCGAAGGCGGCUUACUGGCUCAUACUGGACGCUGAGGUGCGAAAGCGUGGGGAGCAAACAGGAUUAGAUACCCCUGUAGUCCCUGUCUCUUAUAC
rnacentral:rRNA from 1 species